rnacentral:piRNA from 1 species
UACCUGUAUUUCAGAUGUGUAAGCUCUUCCC